rnacentral:rRNA from 1 species
AGUGAACGCUGGCGGUAGGCCUAACACAUGCAAGUCGAACGGCAGCACAGUAAGAGCUUGCUCUUACGGGUGGCGAGUGGCGGACGGGUGAGGAAUACAUCGGAAUCUACCUUUUCGUGGGGGAUAACGUAGGGAAACUUACGCUAAUACCGCAUACGACCUACGGGUGAAAGCAGGGGAUCUUCGGACCUUGCGCGAUUGAAUGAGCCGAUGUCGGAUUAGCUAGUUGGCGGGGUAAAGGCCCACCAAGGCGACGAUCCGUAGCUGGUCUGAGGAUGAUCAGCCACACUGGAACUGAGACACGGUCCAGACUCCUACGGGAGGCAGCAGUGGGGAAUAUUGGACAAUGGGCGCAAGCCUGAUCCAGCCAUACCGCGUGGGUGAAGAAGGCCUUCGGGUUGUAAAGCCCUUUUGUUGGGAAAGAAAAGCAGCAGGUUAAUACCCCGCUGUUCUGACGGUACCCAAAGAAUAAGCACCGGCUAACUUCGUG